rnacentral:rRNA from 1 species
CCUACGGGAGGCAGCAGUGGGGAAUAUUGGACAAUGGGGGAAACCCUGAUCCAGCAAUGCCGCGUGAGUGAAGAAGGCCUUAGGGUUGUAAAGCUCUUUCGGCGGGGAUGAUGAUGACGGUACCCUCAAAGGAAGCACCGGCUAACUCCGUGCCAGCAGCCGCGGU